rnacentral:lncRNA from 1 species
UUCUCUUUCAGGUCGGGCCGGGCCCGGCCGCUUCCGCGAGCGCCCUGCAGACUGAGGGAGAGAGAGAGAAAGAGGAGGGGAGGAGGAGGAGGAUUCAGGGAAUAGGAGCUGGGGAGCCCUUCUGCGCCACAGUGAUAUCAGUAUCAAGAUAAAAGUUUGGAAUGGGAGAAAAAUUCUCAAAGCCUGAAAGAAAAUCUGAGAUGCUUGGAGUGUAAAGAUCCCAUGGUCACAUAAAUCCGGAAAGCACUGAAUACUUUGUUUCCCAUAAGAGAAUCCCAUUAUAUGUUGAUGUAUUAAAAGACCUGAGAACCUGGUGGAGAUGCUGUUUUUCCAGCAGCUCAGUUAAGGGAGAACUUAGUUUGUCUCUGUUUCUUGAUUCCUCUUCAAUUUCUGUUUGCAAACCAAGACUUGUGUUUGGAGAACUCUAUUGUACUGAGCCUAAGUCAUUUUUGAUCUAUAACAAGAACAUGCAUUUUCACAUGUCAACCGGAUUUGUGGACCAGUAAAGUUCUCCCACAAGAAAUCUUCUAUGAUAUUGUCUCAGGGACCACCUGCAGCAGGAGCCCACAAAUUGAAUAAAUGCAACAU